rnacentral:ncRNA from 1 species
CGGUUCACCUUUAGGUGACUAAUAGGGAAUCGGGUGGAAAUCCCGAGCAGACCCGCUGCUGUGAGUCGUCUUUUUCGGCGCAAACACAUCGUCACUGAGAUUAUCGGGAAGACGUUUGCUGCCAGACGACAAGUCAGAAGACCUGCCGAUUUGUCU